AGCUCCAAUAGCGUAUAUUAAAGUUGUUGCAGUUAAAAAGCUCGUAGUUGAACUUCUGGCGGUCGUUUUCGCUGGCUUCGGUCGCGUUGAUGGCUGUCAUCCGCUUGGGAACCUCGUUCGGUCUUCAUUGGUCGGCGGGAGGAUCAGGCAUUUUACUUUGAAAAAAUUAGAGUGUUCAAGGCAGGCAAUCGCCAUGAAUACACAAGCAUGGAAUAAUGGAAUAGGACUCUCAGUCAUUUUAUUGGUUAUUGACUGGUAGUAAUGAUUAAUAGGGACAGUUGGGGGCAUUCGUAUUUAAUUGUCAGAGGUGAAAUUCUUGGAUUUAUUAAAGACGAACUUAUGCGAAAGCAUUUGCCAAGGAUGUUUUCAUUA
rnacentral:rRNA from 2 species